rnacentral:rRNA from 1 species
UACGUAGGGGGCGAGCGUUGUCCGGAGUUACUGGGCGUAAAGCGCACGCAGGCGGUCUGUUAAGUUUGGAGUGACAGUUGGUGGCUUAACUGCCAAAGUGCUUCGAAAACUGACAGACUUGAGGGCUUCAGAGGGACACGGAAUCCGGGUGGAGUGGUGAAAAUGCGUAGAGAUCCGGAGGAACACCAAAGGCGAAGGCAGUGUCCUGGGGAGUACCUGACGCUCAGGUGCGAAAGCCAGGGGAGCGAACGGG